rnacentral:misc_RNA from 1 species
CUUUUGCGAUAGGGAUCGAAACGGAAAUCCCGGAAUAAGCGAAGGGAAGGCAACGGCAUGAGGAAUUGCAGUGGAGAGCCCGACCCGAG